UUCCGCGCCGUUGGCGGGGCCGGGCUGCCCGGGCGGCGGCCUCCCGGGGCGGCGGCGGCGGCGGCCUCCCGCCCCUCUUCCGUGGCGGCUGGUGGAGGCCCGGGGCGCCGACCAGCGAUGUCGGAGGCGAGCGGAAGCCAUGAUCUCUCCUCCUCGCAGAGCUCGGGCGCGGAGAGCGGCAGCCUCUCGCUGCCGUCCACCUCGGGCAACGGCGCCGUGCCUCGGCACGACCAGCAGCAACGCCCGUCGAGCCGCCCUCGCCCGCCGGCCUCCGGGGAGGAGGGAGAGGAGCCGGAGGCGGCGGGCGAGUCGCCCAGGCCGCCGGAGAGCGCCGAGGGCGCCGGCGAUGACCGCAGCAGGAGGAUAAUCCGGAACCAGUACCGGGAGCUCAUCUACACCGUGCAGCAAAAUCGUGAGGAUAUGCUGAGUUCAAAAAGCAACAGACUGACGGAAGCCUUGGAAGAAGCCAAUAAACUGUUUAGUGGAGUUUCCUGUGCACGAGAGGCUGCGCUGGAUGCCCAAUUUCUGGUCCUAGCAUCAAAUCUAGGAAAGGAGAAGGCCAAUGAGUUGCGCUCUGAGAUGACAGCAUUUGAUUCACUAGCAUUUGCGGAAGACUUGCUAACCUUCAUGGGUAUAAAUCGCAUAGAAGUAGAAGAAAAUGAUAGUGAUUCUGAGGGCACUUCAGGUGGCUAUUUACCUAGUAAUGCCUGGCAUAAACUGGGAGAAGAAACAGAAAAAUACUUCAGAAGAGCACCUUCUUUUCACUAUAUGUUAGGAUCUUUCAAGUCUGAUCCUCCUGUACCAAGGCAACGGAUUGAGAGGCAGAAAAAGGCUACAGGAGGAGAAGAAAAACGGGCAAUGCCUGCUCAGUUAAAAAAAAUGGAGGAGUCUCAUCAGGAAGCUACAGAAAAAGAAGUAGAGAGGAUCUUGGGAUUAUUGCAAACUCAUUUUAAAAAUGACCCUGAUACACCUAUUUCCUUCUUUGAUCUUGUGAUUGAUCCAAACUCUUUUGCACGUACUGUGGAAAACAUCUUCCAUGUGUCUUUCAUUAUAAGGGAUGGUUUUGCAAGAUUAAAGCUGGAUGACGAUAAAUUGCCAAUAAUAGCUUUUGUGUUCCUGGAGGAAGCUGACUUUACAAGUAUAAAGACUAUGAAAACACUAUGUUUCAAACAGAGCCUUCAAAAGACAACGUGGGAGGGGAGGCUGACCGUAGUACUGGAGCACGGAACCAGGUUGUCAUAUCUCUGAACCAUCAGGAAUGGAAGGAAAUCGUAGAAACAUAUGAAAUAACAGAACCUAUGAUUAGCCCUCCUCAUCAUAGAAAUGAAGAAGAAAUGGAGAUAGCUUAAUUCCUCAAGUGCCUUAAAGAAAAUAUUUUAAAAUGCUUCCUUCAGAGAAGAUUUUUAUAUGUAUAUAUUGUAAAAUUAAAUUUAUUUUUAUCAAAAUAUCUUGACACUUUAUAUAAGCUGUCUUGUUUAUACCUGUCACAGGGUUAUUGCCAUAUACUUCCUAUUUAUUAUGGUUUUGUUUCCUACUUUCUAAGCGUCAGUAAACUUUAUAUAAGCUUUCAUAAAAGCAACUGCUAUCCCCCAUCAGUCAUCCCUCAUCUCUCCCCAACAGCAGCCUGCAAGUGCGAUUUACAUGGUUAACCAUCUCUGCUGUGAUAAUCUUGUUAUCUAGAUGAUCUUGGGUGCUGCAGGAAAAAUUGAUAUUGUCUUCCUGGUCUUAGUCUUCCGGAAAUCAAGGUUCGAGUUUGGAAAUUUGAUCUGAAUUACAGAUAAAAAUUCCUCCUUCCUUUUUUCCUAAGUGUAUUUGGUUUUGUAACUUGGGCAGGACAGCUUUAUUAGGCCAUGACAUUAUUUUCUUCAAAAUAAAUAAAGUCUAGCUCCAUCUCCAGAAGAUGCUCUUUGGAGCACCGCGGCCUCUGGAGGUUUUUAGGA